rnacentral:misc_RNA from 1 species
GAACUGCGAUAAGUAAUGUGAAUUGCAGAAUUCAGUGAAUCAUCGAGUCUUUGAACGCACAUUGCGCCCCCUGGCAUUCCGGGGGGCACGCCUGUCCGAGCGUCAUUGCUGCCCUUCAAGCCCGGCUUGUGUGUUGGGUCGUCGUCCCCCCCGGGGGACGGACCCGAAAGGCAGCGGCGGCACCGUGUCCGGUCCUCGAGCGUAUGGGGCUUUGUCACCCGCUCGAUUAGGACCGACCGGGCGCCCGCCGGCGUCAAACCCCCAAUCUUUCUAAGGUUGACCUCGGAUCAGGUAGGGAUACCCGCUGAACUUAAGC